AAAGCUCCGGGGAGCUGGCAACGAAGCUUUGAUCCGGAGAUGUCUGAAUGGGGAAACCCACCCUUCGGGGUACCCUAGUCUGAAUACAUAGGACUAGUGGAGCGAACCGGGUGAACUGAAACAUCUCAGUAGCUCGAGGAAAAGAAAUCAACCGAGAUUCCCAAAGUAGUGGCGAGCGAAAUGGGACAAGCCUGCACGAUUUUAGCAGAACGGUUAAGAGAACGGAUUGGAAACUCCGGCCAUAGAGGGUGAUAGCCCCGUAUUUGAAAACCGAUUUUGUGGAACUAAGCAUGCGACAAGUAGGGCGGGACACGUGUAAUCCUGUCUGAAGAUGGGGGGACCAUCCUCCAAGGCUAAAUACUCGUGAUCGACCGAUAGUGAACCAGUACCGUGAGGGAAAGGCGAAAAGAACCCCGGGAGGGGAGUGAAAUAGAUCCUGAAACCGCAUGCAUACAAACAGUGGGAGCCUCGCAAGGGGUGACUGCGUA
rnacentral:rRNA from 1 species